GACGUACGCUGGCGGCGUGCUUAACACAUGCAAGUCGAACGAUGACGACCGAGCUUGCUCGGUCUGAUUAGUGGCGAACGGGUGAGUAACACGUGAGCAACCUGCCCUUCACUCUGGGAUAACCUCGGGAAAUCGGGGCUAAUACCGGAUAUGAGCUCCUGUCGCAUGGCGGGUGUUGGAAAGUUUUUCGGUGAAGGAUGGGCUCGCGGCCUAUCAGUUUGUUGGUGAGGUAGUGGCUCACCAAGGCGAUGACGGGUAGCCGGCCUGAGAGGGCGACCGGCCACACUGGGACUGAGACACGGCCCAGACUCCUACGGGAGGCAGCAGUGGGGAAUAUUGCACAAUGGGCGAAAGCCUGAUGCAGCGACGCCGCGUGAGGGAUGACGGCCUUCGGGUUGUAAACCUCUUUCAGCAGGGAAGAAGCGAAAGUGACGGUACCUGCAGAAGAAGCGCCGGCUAACUACGUG
rnacentral:rRNA from 1 species